rnacentral:misc_RNA from 1 species
UAAGGAUGCAGCUGGAAUCGCCGGUACUUUUCUCUUUCUGAAUAUUUUCUGUUUCUGUUCUUGCUUUCUAUUAAAAGUGCUCAUUUACUCUUUUUUUUCCUUUUGUCCCCCUCACCCCCCAAUUAAUCAUUUGAUUCUUGAGAACAACAGCCCCCAUGAUUGUACCUGGGUUUAAGUUCUGAGAAAUCUGUCUCUCUCUCUCUCGUUUUUCUAUUUAGUUCUUGUUUUUGCAUAAGCAUUCUGAUUCUUGGGUUCUCUUGGAAAUUGAAAGAGGAGAUUAGUUGUUGUUAAAGGAAAUGUUAAACAAACCCAUUUUUCUCUUUUAGUGGACAUUUUAUUUUGGUAGUUUGGCAAUUUGAAAGACUGGCUGUCCGUUCAUUAGUCUCUGAUUUUUUGCUGACACAGAAGCUAUUUGGUUGGAAUAUUAGAUUCCUUUCGUUCUUUUGAUGACUUUAAUUGCAUAUCCUUUACCUUCAAAGUUUGCAUUUCGGCUCUUAAACCAUGGCCCAAGUUGGAAAACAAUAAGCUAAAAUUGGGAGCCGUUUAUAUGUAAAUGUCUCGACUAAAUAUUACAAAAAGAAGGGCCUUUAAUCCUUUAGUGCUCUGCUUCGGAUCACCCCAAUGAAAAUUUGGUCUAAUUUGGUUAUCAUACCAUAAAGGUUGUCUCAUGUCCUCAAGCAAAGUGCUUUUG